AUGGGUCACAGGAGCAGGAUGGGAGGAACUCCGCCUACCUGGCCUGGAGGAGCCGUCUGUGCAGGCAGUUCUCAAAGGCUCAGGCUUGCCGGCUUCCUGCAGACUCUCCAGUGAACCAGCCUUUGAACAGCAGACUGAGUCGGAGCAGCUCAAAGGGCCCUGAAGGCAGAAGUCGCUUCAGAGUGCACACCUGCGGGCAGUUCGUGACCCUUAUCUGCAUCUGAGCAGAGUGAACUACAGCUUGUCGGCCAGCUGGAGAGGUGCCAUGGAGGGAGUUGGUGCCCAGGGACUGGUGGGAUCUUAUGGAGGUUUGCCUUGAGGAUAUGACAUGGCAUACAGAGUGUUCUGUGUUCCAGUGGGAAGACUAUGUAUUCUAUAGAUUUGGAUGGAACAGUCUGCAGAUGUCUGAGCCGUCCGUUUGGUCUGGGAUACAGUGGGCCUCAGGGAAAGAAGAGAAGAAAGGAAGGCCAAGAGAAAAGGGGCUUCGACAAGCGAGGACAGCAGUUACCAAGGAAACAGAGAAGAGCAGACAUCAGAAGCAUCUCCAAGUUGGCACUGUGGACCACGGUGGACGGUCAUCUGGGAUAAAGAUGAUGCGGUGCCUUCCCCCUGCAUCCCUGAGUCACAUCACAGGAGCUUUUAUCCUUCAUUCAUUUUAUAGUUCUUAUUUGUGCCUGUAUGUGUACACUGUGCACAUGCGAGCGUCUAUGCGAGUAGAGGCCAGAGGUUGGCAUCAGGUUCUUCCUUAGUUAUUAUUCUCCAUCUUAUCUUUUGAGAUGGUCUCCUGAACCUGGAGCUCGCUUAUAUGGCUAGAUGGGGUGCCCUGAUAACUCUAGGGAUCUGCCUGUGUCCACUCUCCUAGCGCUGGGAUUACCGGCACGCGCUACAGUACGUGGCUUUUUACAUGGGCUCUGGCAAUUUGAACUCAGGUCCCCAUGUUUGUGUGGCAAGCACCUUGCCCACUAGGCUGUUUCCCCAGCCCCUACUGUGCCGUUUGUCUUCCUAUAAAAUGACUUAACUUGUCUGCACGAUGUCCCCAACAAUGUCAUCUUCCCUGGAACCUGGAAAGGGCUGGUCCACGGAGACUCUACCAUAGCUGGAGACCACAGUGCUCCUGCACUGGAGACUGGGUCACUUUCUACUUGAUUUGCAUCCUCUGCCCCUGAAAGGGCUUAGGAGGAGGCUGCCCAUAAAAGGGGAUUAUUUGGUGUGUGUGUGUGUGUGUGUGUGUGUGAACCACAGCAAUAAAAAGGCUUAGAAGAUUAACCAGAUGAGAACAUUAGCACAAACUCAUCAGUUCCAAGAGGUAUUCUGUGAAAACAGAACCUUCUUUAAAAAAAAAAAAAAAAGUCCGUUCAAUGAAAACUUCCCUCGAAUAAAGAGUGUUUGGCAUUUCC
ensembl:antisense Gm10371 predicted gene 10371